AUUGAACGCUGGCGGCAUGCUUUACACAUGCAAGUCGAACGGCAGCGCGGGCUUCGGCCUGGCGGCGAGUGGCGAACGGGUGAGUAAUAUAUCGGAACGUACCCAAGAGUGGGGGAUAACGUAGCGAAAGUUACACUAAUACCGCAUACGAACUACGGAUGAAAGCAGGGGACCGCACGGCCUUGUGGUCCUGGAGCGGCCGAUAUCUGAUUAGCUAGUUGGUGAGGUAACGGCUCACCAAGGCAACGAUCAGUAGCUGGUCUGAGAGGACGACCAGCCACACUGGAACUGAGACACGGUCCAGACUCCUACGGGAGGCAGCAGUGGGGAAUUUUGGACAAUGGGGGCAACCCUGAUCCAGCAAUGCCGCGUGAGUGAAGAAGGCCUUCGGGUUGUAAGCUCUUUUGUCAGGGAAGAAAAGGCUGUGGCUAAUAUCCACAGCCGCUGACGGUACCUGAAGAAUAAGCACCGGCUAACUACGUGCCAGCCGCCGCAGUAAAAC
rnacentral:rRNA from 1 species